ensembl:lncRNA
GGGUCUCGGGCUGGGCGGAGGUGAGUCCCGGGGCCUCUGGGCGCCUCAGUUGCCUCGGGUUGGAAAAUGGGCUGUCAAUGUGACCCCGGGGGAGUCCCUGGACCCCGGGGUGUACGGGGACGCCCGUGUCCCCGGCUUCCCGGAGGCUCCAUCGCGGCUGGGCGCCUGUUCUCUCAGCGGCCCAGAGCCACUUGCGCUCCCGCCGCCCCUGUCCCGACGGACCCGCCGAAGACGUGGAGGCAAGCCCGCAAGCCCGCAUGCCCCGCCUUGCAGCCAAAGCAAACAAACACAGAAGGAGCUCUGGAAAGAAUAAGCAGGAAAGCUGGGACACGCCCCUGAUCUUCGACUUUAAAAGCCCAAAGUCGGAAUGUCAGCCCCAUGUUACAACCAGUGAGAUCUGGGUCCCAGCUCUGCCCUCUGGGCACCACCAUGCCUGCCAGCUCCCUCUGCCCAGGACAGAGAUCAGAAAACCACUCACAGAUGGACCCCAGGACUCCGCCUGUCCAGUUGCCACUUGCCCAAAGGCUUCAUUUUACAGAUGAGAAAAUUGAGGCCGAAAAGGGGACAAGUCAAAGGACAGACUGGAGAGAGACCUGGCAGCGUAAUAAAAGUUCAUGACUUUCAGUCUUGUUCUUGUUCAGUUGCUAAGUCAUGUCCAGCUCUGUGAUCCCAUGGGCUGCAGCACGCCAGGGUUGCCUGUCCUUCACCAUCUUGUUCAAACUCAUGUCUGUUGAGUCAGUGAUGCCAUCCAACCAUCUCAUCCUCUGUCAUCCCCUUCUCCUCCUGGCUUCAGUCUUUCCCAGCGUCAGGGUCUUUUCAAAUGAGUCAGCUCUCUGCAUCAGGUGGUCAAAGGAUUAGAGCUUCAGCUUCAGCAUCAGUCCUUCCAAUGAAUAUUCAGGGUUGAUUUCCAUUAGGAUUGACUGGUUUGAUCUCCUUGCUGUUCAAGAGACUCUCUAGAGUCUUCUCCAACACCACAAAAGCAUCAGUUCUUCAUCACUCAGCCUUAUUUAUGGUCCAACUCUUACAUCCCUACAUGACUACUGGAAAAACCAUAGCUUUGACUAUAUGGAUCUUUGUUGGCAAAGGGAUGUCUCUGCUUUUUAAUACGCUGUCUAGGUGUGUAUAGCUUUUUUGCCAAGGAGCAAGCAUCUUUUAAUUUCGUGGCUGGCUGCAGUCACAGUCUGCAGUGAUUUUGGAGCCCAAAAAUAUAAAAUCUACCACUCUUUCUACUUUUUCCCCAUCUCUUUGUGAUGAAAUGAUGGGACCGAAUGACAUGACCUUUAUUUUUUGAAUGUUGAAUUUUAAACAAGGUUUUUCCAUUCCUGAGUAAUCUCCAGUUCCCCGAGGUCAGCUUGGACCACAGAGACUCAGCUUCAAGACGGUGAAUGCACUCAGAACACGUACCCUAGCCUGCUCACCACAUCUCAGUUCCUGGAAAUGAAAGAAACUGCAUAUCUGCUUGCAAUGUGGUGUCCUACGUGGGAUCCUGAUGGGAAUUAGGUAAAAACUAAAGGAAUCUGAAUAAAGUAUGGACUUCAGUUGAUGACAAUGUACUAACAUUAAAAAUGUUCAUUUUUAUUAUA